GCGGACGUAGCUCAGUUGGUAGAGCGCAACCUUGCCAAGGUUGAGGUCGCGAGUUCGAGACUCGUCGUCCGCU
rnacentral:tRNA from 1 species